rnacentral:misc_RNA from 1 species
UUUUCUUUCCUCUUCACGACGUUGCUCAAGGGAUUUUUCGUACCGUAUAAGAAAUUCACUAAGUGGUGCUUGAGAUGUCAAUAAUGUGCCAAAAUAUGAUUUCAAGCUCCCGUCCGUUGGAAUGCCAGCAAAGAAUGUGCCUUUAAUGUAUAACGGUACCCAGCUCUUCCGCAUCCUAUACAUAUCCUUCAACCAUGUGUUCUCUCUCAAAUUAUACUUGUUAAUAAGCACAUUCCAUGCUGCUUCAAACUCAUUAGCCGUCUGGCUCUGGAAAAUGGAAGUUUCAUAUUCAUACUUAAAUUCAGGAUUCAUCGAGAGUAAUGCACCAAUGUUUUCCUGCUCCUUAGCCACAACUUGCCAUGCAGAAAACCGAUGAUGUGUCCCGGGGAAAACUUGAGCAAUUGAAUGUUGAAUGACCCAGUCUUGAUCAGCAACUAUAGAGAUAGGACGACGCCCUGACAUUGCCCGAAGCCAAGCUUGGAACAACCAAGUAAAUGACUCUUCAGACUCUUCAGCAAUUAAGGCACAGCCAAGAAGUACUGGUUGCCUGUGGUGAUUAACCCCAAUGAAUGAAGCAAGUGGCACUGAGUAACUACCCCUUCUAUAGGUUGUGUCGAAAACAAUUGCAUCCCCAAACUGAGUGCAGGAGAAUCUAGACCGAGAGUCGGCCCAUAAUACACUCAUGGCUCUACCCUUAUGCAUUUCCACUGCAUAGAAAAAUCCCAUAUCGUCUGCUUGUCGAGCCUGAAAAUAGUCAAAAAGCUCAUUAUACCAAUCACUUCCAAUUUUACUCUCCCUGGAUCUUGUAACAAGGCUAAACCCUCCAUUUGAUUCAACUAAAUCCAUAUUCUCCAACCCAUGGCUUAAUUCUUCUUUGAAUCCUUUUGAUGACACUCUCUCACUAGCAUCAAUGGGAGCUCCAAGUUCAUGGUUAUGUUCGUUUUGAAAACGAUCAACCAACCACCUUCCUGAUUCUUGUCUCUGUAUCCUCAUGAAAGCUCCACACCCCACUCUCGACGGAUGCUGAUGCCCUUCUUUAGAGCAAACAAAUCUCCGCGAUGUAAUCGACCCAUCAUUCUUCGAACGAAACAGCUGACCAAUCCUAACUUUAAACCCAGUAUUAGCAGCAUGAGUAUGAUAAAACUCAUAUGCUUCAGCAGCAGAAACAAAUUCUAACCCCUUAUACGGUUCACUUCUAGUUUCUCCAUUGAUUUUCUCCCGUUUAAGACGCUUAAAAUCGAGAAUCCCAGAUGGGCCAUCCUCAUCAAGUGAUCUAAGUCCAGUCCUAGUUGAUACAACAAUAGAAGCUGAUUUUGAUUUCGGGGUUGGGGUUGGGGUAACAAUUUUUCUUUGAAUUCGAGAUGGGCAAAUCUCACCUGGAUGUUCAAGGUCAUGAUUGUGUUCCUUCUUUAUAUUAGCGAGAACCCAUUUGCCAGAAUCAAGCCUUUGCACUCUUAUGAAAGCUGGACAUCCCGUUCGUGAAGUAGUCUGAAACCCCUCUUUGGAACAAACGAAUCUCCGGGAAACAACAGACCCAUCAAUUCGAGAACGAUAGAGCUGACCAAUUCGAAUCCUAAAUCCAAUUUUCGUUGCAUAGAGAUUGUAAAACUCUUGUGCAUCUUCGGCUGAAUCGAACUCUAACCCCACAUUUGGUUCAAGCCUUGACUCUCCUUCUUCCUCAACAUCCCGAUGG